rnacentral:lncRNA from 1 species
CUUCAUUUUUUAUCGGAUUGAAACGGAUUCAUGACAGAUUAAUUUUUAUUUUAGUUUUGACUCUCACUGACCGCCUCAUUCUGGACGUAUCGGGGAGGGAGUGAAUUUUUGGCGAAUUUUUAACGUAUCGAGACAGAUUGAAAAAAAAAAAAAAGUUUCCCGUCUUUCACUUUAUUUACUCGACGAAUCGGGACGAAUUCGGGACGAGUUAUAUUUUUUUAUAUUUUUUAUUCUCACCUAUAGUCCCAUUCAGAAUGAGAACGAGUUAGGAC